UCUUCGGAGAGUUUGAUCCUGGCUCAGGACGAACGCUGGCGGCGUGCCUAAUACAUGCAAGUCGAGCGAAUCGACGGGAGCUUGCUCCCUGAGAUUAGCGGCGGACGGGUGAGUAACACGUGGGCAACCUGCCUAUAAGACUGGGAUAACUUCGGGAAACCGGAGCUAAUACCGGAUACGUUCUUUUCUCGCAUGAGAGAAGAUGGAAAGACGGUUUACGCUGUCACUUAUAGAUGGGCCCGCGGCGCAUUAGCU
rnacentral:rRNA from 1 species